CCCCAUCUCCUCCUCUCCCUCCCCGGCCUAGCCCCCGAGCCUCUAACCCGCCGGAAACGCCGGGAAGCAUUUCGCCGGAACUCCCUCCUCCGGCCACCAAUCCAGGCAAGCUUAGUACGGUUUUGUAGCCCUCCAAUCCAGCAGCCUUGCCCUAAAAGGACUCACUCCCUCUUGAGCUAGGUAAGGAGAAAUUUGAGGUGGAAGUUUUAUGAUGUUUUUGAUGUUUUUAGUCGAUUGCGCUAAUUAGGCUUGGAAUUGGUGUUUGUGCUAGUUAGGAAAGUUGUAGAGCAUGAUGAGAGGAUUAUUCUGUCAAAAUUUCAUAGGUUUUGGAGGUCGCUGGAAUUGGCCUCCGGCCGCCGCCGGUUAGGAGAUUUUUAGGGUUUUAAGUGUGGAAUAUUAAGAGGAGUAUAUUGAUGUGAUUUAUGGAAUUUUUGGAUGAGAUUUGGAUAGGUUUGUGAAUUUCCGAAGUUUGGUAUUUUUGGCGGUUAAUUAAUGCAGAAUCCGGCCGUAGGAUUUAAGUCGUAUUUUGGGGAGGUUGUAUUUACGACUGUUGAGUAUGAUAUUUAAGUUCGGAUUGUUCCGAUUUAAGAAUAUCGAAGUUAGGCAAUGAUGAGCGUAUUUAUGGCUCUCGGGUAAUUUUGCCUAUUUUGAUUAAAUAUUGGAUUAUUGGUUGGGAAAUUAAUAUUAUAUUUGGAACAAGACGUGAGGAGGCUCGAGCAGACGAGGCCCCAGACCGACAUCAGGCUUAGGCCUAAUUUGUGAGUGGACUUUUAUUUGAAAUAAUAUGCAUGCUAUGGUUCAUGAUUGAACAUUUCUUUUUGUUGGAGUUUUGACGUCAAUUAAUUUUGACGCUUUUAUUUCUCUUAGAGAGUUACCGAAAAUGGGAUUUUCGGUGAAUAUAAAUAUGUAUUUAUGAGAGAGUAUGUAUAGGAAAUGCUAGCUAGCCAUAUGUGUCUGUCCACCUUAAUGGCGUAGCAUAUAGCCGCAUUAUGGUGUGACGUGAGCGUUGGACGUAAGCGUAGUAGCCCUAUUUGAGUGUUUAAUUCAUAUAGGGGGGUAUGGACACAUAUUUACAC
rnacentral:lncRNA from 1 species